AUUGAACGCUGGCGGCGUGCUUAACACAUGCAAGUCGAUCGGUAACGCGGGGGCAACCCUGGCGACGAGAGGCGGACGGGUGAGGAACGCUUGGGAAUCUGCCUAUCAGCGGGGGACAACACGGGGAAACUCGUGCUAAUACCGCAUACGCUCUACGGAGGAAGGCCGGGGACCGCAAGGCCUGGCACUGAUAGAUGAGCCCAAGCCGGAUUAGCUAGUUGGCGGGGUAACGGCCCACCAAGGGGACGAUCCGUAGCUGGUCUGAGAGGACGAUCAGCCAACAUGGGACUGAGACACGGCCCAGACUCCUACGGGAGGCAGCAGUGGGGAAUAUUGGACAAUGGGGGAAACCCUGAUCCAGCGACGCCGCGUGGGUGAAGAAGGCCUGCGGGUUGUAAAGCCCUUUCGGUAGGGACGAAAGCUCUCGACCUAACACGUCGGGAGGUUGACUUAACCUACAAAAGAAGCACCGGCUAACUCUGUGCCAGCCGCCGCCGUAAAAC
rnacentral:rRNA from 1 species